CGUGGGUAGCCAUGAUUCUGAAUAAGGCACAUCCAAUUGCUCCUUUUUUGUUACCUCUUCCAAGCAGACCAAAAGUUCACAUGCAAAAUCUCCUCAUAUUCUGUGCUUUGGGGAUUGCUGUGAAAUGUCCUGUGUGGUAAGAAACUUCUCCUCAAAACUUGGUCCUCUGAACUACGUACUCGGAAAGACCCUCCGUGUAUCCUCUGGAGCUGCAUGGUUCCCCCUACAAUCUACAAAUGCUCAAGUUGAUUGUUUAACGAACACUUCUAAACGAAGAUUGACAUCGUUGUGCUCAACCAGCCAUGUGGGUGUGUUGACUGCCCAUCAUGGUUCAAUCCUAAGGACUAACGGCUGUUGCAAACCUCCCACCUAUCAGCAGAUGAUCUUUAGUAGUACUACAUCACGUCGAUAUUCAACCGAGCCCAGCCAAGACAACACAAACACCUCGCACUCAAACGACUCCACAUCAAUCACUUCCAAGGAUGCUAAAAGUUCUGAUUUCGAACUGGUCUACACGGCACCACUAAAAGGAGCAGUUCGAGCAAUCAAAAUCUUCUCCCUCACCACAGCAGCAGCUGCCAUGAUAGGUGGUCCUGUCCUGGUCUGGAUGGGUAAUACUUCCGUACCCCUAGUCGGGCGAGUGAUGAUGAGCACUCUAGUCAUGCUAGUGGGUUUUUCCACCACUGCACUCCUGCAUUGGUUAGUGAAGGGCUACGUUAUACAGAUGUACUUCAAUAAAAAGACCGAUAAGAUACAAUUAUACACACUGUCUAUGAUUGGACAAAAGAAACUUCACGAAUUCGAUAUUUCCGACGCUAAACCUCCGAGUGCGACUGCGUUCAGCUCAUUCCAAGCCCGAGGCAAGUCGUAUUUUGUUCAUGCGGAAGUUCUUGAAGAUGAUAAACUUAUGUCUAGGCUAUUAGGUGUGUAUGCAGAUAUAGAAAGAACUGAUAUGUGAUGCUUUGAAUUGUUAGACAUUGUAUGACACUCAAUAUCCUGGGCGCCACUGUCUUUAUUGACCCUUAAUUAAUUGUUCAGGGUAUCCUUAUUCGGAAGAUCUAUAAGACUGUGUGUAUUCAAUUUUGAUAUCCCCUUUAUAUGAGUUGUAGAGGGAAGUAACUAAUUAGUGGCUUCCUUUUCAGCCAUCAUACAUACAGGUUUCAUAAUGGAUUAUACGAUUUAGCCUUUGCUAUAGCUAGUUUAUUUUUUACAACAAGAAUAAUGAUGGCUGUUAGAAUGUCAAUGCUGUCUUCUCACUACAGAAGAAACCUCUUCCCUGUAAGUCAUGUUCGUCUAUUGUGUAGUUUUGCUAUGAGACCGAAUCCACGGGAAAUGCCUGAGGAAAGAAUUCAUCUUAAGAUUGGCACUCACCCACAUCACGCAACAACUAGCCUCUCAAGUUCGAUGUGCUUCAAAGGUGUCAGACUAGUCACACUUGGCACUAACAUGUCAAGACACUAUUCAACUGAGCCAAAAACAACUGACAGUUCACAUACUCUGGUACCUAAGAACGGAGCAGGUGAAUACGAGUUGGUCUACACAGCACCGCUGAGUAGACUCUUUACUAUAGGAUUAGGAUUGCAUAUGACCUGAAGAGCUUGUCCGUACUGAUUUUGUGUGGUUCGCUGUAUGUGGCUACAAAGAUACUGACUGAAAGGUACAUAACACAGCUCCACUACAACAAGAGCACGGAGAUGGUUAAGAUACUCACAACACCAAUAAUGCUACUUGAUUCGUUCAAACUUUUCCAGUUCAAAAGUUCGCACAGAGUGUGUGAGUUUAACAUUUCAGAAGCAAAGCCAGCUGCUAGUGAUGUGUUUAGUUCAUUCGAAGCGAAGGAACAACUGUAUUUCAUUCACACUGAUACCUUUCAAGAUAAGCAGCUACUAUCGAGGCUUGGUGUAUUACACAAUCAAAAACACUCCUAAACAAUUAUCAUGCAUCAAAGAAAAUGUCGUAUAACAUGUGACUUGUGUGCAUGCAUAAUAUUCAACCAAUAUUGUUUUCAUU